ensembl:lncRNA
GGCAGUGACGCCUUACAAACAACAUCUCAGCAACCUGAUCGCCACCACAGAGAAAAGACCACAACAGAUAUGGGCUAACUUUAGCCUUUUGGAAUAAUCGUAAUCUUGAUCAAUUAAGCACCCUUGUCAACAACGGAGCACGCGCUCUAUUAAAUUAAGUCAAUAGAAUAAUGUGGUGUAAUGGUAAAUUGACAUGUCCGAUGUUCCGGUUGCAUAAUAGCCUACGAUGUAAACUCCAGCAACGCAGAGCAACGCCUGUCGGUGUCAGCAGCCAACAUCCAGGUGAAUUGUGACAUUAAAUUGCCCGAUGGAGGAAUAUCGUUGGACUGGUGCUCAAGAGCAGAUUUGCAAGGAUAACGAAAAACAAUCCAGCAGCUACGGGCCCGCUAUUAUAGCUUGUGACGCUUCGUACAAUGACAAGCUGGAAGAUGACGAACUUGCGCGAAAAAAGAAAGAGUUGCAGUUUAUCGAGGAAAAGAUAGCUCGCAAGAGGGCUGCAAUUGCUUUGAAGAAUGAAUGGCAACGAACGUCUAUGUACAGCGAAAAUGAUGUAGACAAACAAUCGAACAAUGACAUUGAGGUAAAAGAAAAGCACGAAACAUCCUCAGGCAAUAAUUUUCCACAGCGGCAACCCCAUCAGGAGGCUGUUCAUCUCUCAGCGAGACAAAUCAGUAUUCUCAAUGAGUUGACACCGCUGUUAGUGUCCUCCUUUGAACCCUCUAAUCCUGCCCCGCCUUCAUCCAUGAAAAGUUUUGUGGAGAGGAGAAAUGCCAAAAUCUUCCAGAGAGAUUUCGAGCAAAAACAGAACCCUGAAUCAGAUGCCAACACAACCCUCACUCAAGAACUGAGGGAGGCACUAAGACAUCACCACAACUCAGAGCUAGCGUCAUCUCUGGUUACCAAGAGUGCAUCUGAACAGCCCGAUCUCUUCAACACACAGGGAACCCACGACAGUGGACCACCAUCGACAUCGAAGGGCUUUGAUCGUUUCCUCAGUGUUCUUAACCAAGGGGUAGAUGUAGGGAGGCUCUCUGACAUCGUGAACGCAGCUGCACCCAGCAGUGUGCCCACGAAGGCUCUGGAACAGUCAUAUCAGUUGAGGUCUUCAGAGGAGCACGAGUCUAAACAUGCAUUUUCUGACUAUUUCACCUCCAACAGUAGCAGCAGAAGAAAUAGUAGGGGAAGUCCUCCAGCUGCAAGGAAGAGAUCUGCAAUGAAUUGGGACUCCAGAGAUGGGAACAGUCACUCAAAAGACAAGGACAGGCACUCCAGAGACAAACUCAGAGACUCAGAGGAAGAGAAGAACAGAGGUUGGAGAGGCAAGAGAGACGACUCUAGACACAGCCACUCGGAUGAAAGGAGAAGCAGAAGGGACCCGGGAGACAGAGACAAGGGCCAGGACUCAAGGGACCACAGACAAUAUUCCCCACGCCCAAAGAGAAGAUACUCAAGAGACCGUAGCAGCAGCAGGAAGAGCAGGAGCAGGAGCAGGUCAUCGACCUCAGAGAACGAGAGGAAGAUGGAGAAAGAGCAACACCUCUCGACGGUCCAGACCCUCCUCCAGACAGUGGGGCUGGACUUAGGGUUUGAGGAGCUGGACCGACUGAGGAAUAGGACCCAAGAGAAGCUCUAUGGGAUGAAGACUCCAAGAGGCGGGGGGGAAGGCAGGCAGCAACGACGACGGCACAGGGACUCUUCAUGGUCAGACAGCACAGAUGAUCAAUCCUCAGAUUCUCACCACAGGCGACGUAGCUCUAAAGAGACCAAAGGUUACCGUGACACCGAGCGCCCACUGAGGGUUUCCGAAACAGACCCGCCUGAGUCAGUUCAAUCAGUACCGUGUUCUACUGGAAGCUACCCUGUCGGCCCUGCUCCCCAGAAUAUGCCCGUGUCCACAUUCUCACAGCCUCCACCAACAAACUAUUCUAGCUAUACAGCCUAUGAUGGCCAGGACCACAGUGCCUCUGUCCAGAGCUGGACUGCUGUUGGGUGGAGUGGGGUGCCGCCGCCUGGCCCUCCCUGUUCGUAUGGCCCACCUCUUGGCAACAUAUUACCAGGGACCCCUCAGUUCACCCCUCCGCCUUUGAUGGUCACAGGCUCCCACAAUGCACCAUACUGGCUUCCACCACCCCAGUAUCCUAAGCACUUGGGACCUCCUCCACCACUACUACCAGCAUCACAACCUCCACCUCAUCAGCCUCCACCCCCACAACCUCCACGUCAUCUGCCUCCACCACUCCUACCCCCUCCUCAUCUGCCUCCACCGCCCCACCUCCAGCCACCCCCGUGUCCACCACUCCUACCUCCACCUCAUCUACCUCUACGACCACCACCACUCCUACCCCCAUCUCAUCUGCCUCCACCAACACCACCACACCCCCCACCGUAUCUGCCUCCACCGCCCCACUUCCAGCCACCCCCGCAUCCAUCAUUCCUAAACCCUCCCUUUCCACAUUCACCUUACCCGCUUCUCCCAUCGUUCCCACCCCAACGGGUGACGUCAGAGACGUACCUCGGGGUGUCACAGAUGCAGGGCUCAUCAAAGAACAAGAAAGAACGUUUCCUCAAGGUCCUAAAGGUAGCACCUUUGUCAUCAAAUAGUGAAACGUCAACAGAGAGCGGGAUGACCAUGACACCACCAGCAGAACAACCAGAGGUCAUGAGUUUCCAUAGCAAUCAACAGUUUGUUAGUAAUCUCCUUCAUGUUAUUCCUCUUUCCAAGAGGCAACUAAAGAAAGAACAAGGGACUAAGAUGGCUAAUAUGAAGGCUAGUGUGGCGAAGCAUAUGCUUAGAAUGGAAAAACAAAAGCUCCGGGACGAUGCUGCUGCUGCUGGCGCUGCUGCUAUUGCGGCUGCGGGUGCUGUUGAUGCUGCUAAAAGGGCUGCUGCUGUGGUGGGUGGCGAUGCGUAAACAGGAAAGACGAAAGCUCCGGAACGAUGCUGCUCCUUCUAUUGCGACUGCGGAUGGUACUACUGUUGAGUACUACUUACCAGGAAACGCACAAUAAGCACCGGGAGGCUGAGCUAGCCGUAGCAACAACUCAGACAUGAUUGGAUGAACCCAGAGAGAACAGUGUAGGGUAAU